CGGACAGUGCCUGGUGGGUAGUUUGACUGGGGCGGUCUCCUCCCAAAGAGUAACGGAGGAGCACGAAGGUGGGCUAAUCACGGUUGGACAUCGUGAGGUUAGUGCAAUGGCAUAAGCCCGCUUGACUGCGAGAAUGACAAUUCGAGCAGGUGCGAAAGCAGGUCAUAGUGAUCCGGUGGUUCUGAAUGGAAGGGCCAUCGCUCAACGGAUAAAAGGUACUCCGGGGAUAACAGGCUGAUACCGCCCAAGAGUUCAUAUCGACGGCGGUGUUUGGCACCUCGAUGUCGGCUCAUCACAUCCUGGGGCUGAAGUCGGUCCCAAGGGUAUGGCUGUUCGCCAUUUAAAGUGGUACGCGAGCUGGGUUUAGAACGUCGUGAGACAGUUCGGUCCCUAUCUGCCGUGGGCGUUGGAAGAUUGAAGGGGGCUGCUCCUAGUACGAGAGGACCGGAGUGGACGAACCUCUGGUGUUCGGGUUGUGUCGCCAGACGCAUUGCCCGGUAGCUAAGUUCGGAAUCGAUAACCGCUGAAAGCAUCUAAGCGGGAAGCGAGCCCUGAGAUGAGUCUUCCCUGAUACUUUAAGUAUCCUAAAGGGUUGUCGGAGACUACGACGUUGAUAGGUCAGGUGUGUAAGUGCUGUGAGGCAUUGAGCUAACUGAUACUAAUUGCCCGUGAGGCUUAACCAUACAACACCCAAGGGGUUU
rnacentral:rRNA from 1 species